GAUGAACGCUAGCGGCAGGCCUAAUACAUGCAAGUCGAACGGUGUAGCAAUACACAGUGGCGCACGGGUGCGUAACACGUAUGCAACCUACCUAUCAUUGGGGGAUAGCCUUUGAAAACGGAGAUUAAUACCGCACAAGACAGUAACAUGGCAUCAUGUAGCUGUUGAAGCUUCGUCGGUGAUAGAUGGGCAUGCGUCCAAUUAGUUAGUUGGUGAGGUAAUGGCUCACCAAGACGAUGAUUGGUAGGGGAUCUGAGAGGAUAAUCCCCCACACUGGCACUGAGAUACGGGCCAGACUCCUACGGGAGGCAGCAGUAGGGAAUAUUGGGCAAUGGGCGGAAGCCUGACCCAGCCAUGCCGCGUGCAGGAUGAAGGCGUUAUGCGUUGUAAACUGCUUUUUUAUAGGAAGAAGGAGACCUUGCGAGGUUUGGUGACGGUACUAUAAGAAUAAGCACCGGCUAACUCCGUGCCAGCAGCCGCAGUAACAC
rnacentral:rRNA from 1 species